UACGUAGGGUGCGAGCGUUAAUCGGAAUACUGGGCGUAAAGCGUGCGCAGGCGGCUUUGCAAGACAGAUGUGAAAUCCCCGGGCUCAACCUGGGAACUACAUUUGUGACUGCAAGGCUAGAGUACGGCAGAGGGGGAUGGAAUUCCGCGUGUAGCAGUGAAAUGCGUAGAUAUGCGGAGGAACACCAAUGGCGAAGGCAAUCCCCUGGGCCUGUACUGACGCUCAUGCACGAAAGCGUGGGGAGCAAACAGG
rnacentral:rRNA from 1 species